rnacentral:rRNA from 1 species
AACGAACGCUGGCGGCAGGCUUAACACAUGCAAGUCGAACGCCCCGCAAGGGGAGUGGCAGACGGGUGAGUAACGCGUGGGAAUCUACCCAGAACUUCGGAACAACUGAGGGAAACUUCAGCUAAUACCGGAUACGCCCUACGGGGGAAAGAUUUAUCGGUUUUGGAUGAGCCCGCGUUGGAUUAGCUAGUUGGUGGGGUAAAGGCCUACCAAGGCGACGAUCCAUAGCUGGUCUGAGAGGAUGAUCAGCCACACUGGGACUGAGACACGGCCCAGACUCCUACGGGAGGCAGCAGUGGGGAAUAUUGGACAAUGGGCGCAAGCCUGAUCCAGCCAUGCCGCGUGAGUGAUGAAGGCCUUAGGGUUGUAAAGCUCUUUCAGUGGGGACGAUAAUGACGGUACCCACAGAAGAAGCCCCGGCUAACUUCGUGCCAGCCGCCGCCGUAACAC